GUUCAAAAUAACGGCUCUCUCUCUCUCUCUCUCUCUCUCUCUCUCUCUCUCGUGCAAUUCUUCCCACCGCAGAACAGAGUCACCGCCCCUCAUCUGCCAAGAUCCGCCGCGCCUCCGGACUUCCGGCGAGGUCGCGCCUCGUCUCUGAACUCUGGCGCUGUUUCUCUCAACCAGCCCGCUUCCCUUUCUUCUAAUCAAGCCAGAUGCACACAUGCCGCUGCUCUCACUCUCUCAACACGCUUACUCACAUCCAUGUCUCCCUCUAUCUCGUUCUGACAAAACGCACACAAGGAAGCUCUAAUUUUUCCUUACACCAACUGAAUCAACAGCCGGCGAGGCAGAGGGGCCGGUGAGUGGCCGCCAUUUUUGUAUCCAGCCCUCUUCCCUAUCUCUCUCAAAUCUCGACUGAAACAGAGAAAGCUCUAACUCUCUCUCAAUUACACGCUCAAGGCAGAUGGGGGGUGAAGUUUUUGUGAAAGUAUUGGACUUGAGAGAUUUUAUGGAGAAAUAGUAAUCGAGCGCUCGCUGGUUUCUAUCCAGCGCUCGCUGCAACUCCAGCCGAUUCGCCCAGCUCGCAGGGUGCCCCAGCUGUUUCGCCCUGCUCGCGGGGUGUUCCAGCCGUUUCAUCUAGUGGACGGUCAAAUCCCAGCCACCAUUACAGCCGGCGCUCAAAUUCCCAGCUGGCACUCCAGCCGACGCUCAAAUCUCCAGCGAGCACUCAACUCCCUCGCUCAAGCCCAGCGGCGCUCAAUUACUCACUCAACACCCAGUGGCCGCUCACUUUUACCCAGCGCCCGCUGGGUGUGUUUCCUCACGCCUAGAGUAUAAAUAGAUUAUUUCUCUUUUCGCGAGGGCACACUUUUUCAGAUGCAGUUCUAACAAUUGUUCCAGAUGCCAGAUUUCCUAGUUAGGGUUAUUGCUUUGAUUUUCAUCCUGACGCCUAGAGUAAUUCAGUAGUUAGAGAUUUAUUUUCCAGUUAUCGUCAUUACUGUAAGUUUCCAUUUAUUGCCUAGAUAAAACUCUUAGAUUUAUGAUUUCAAUGCAGUAUCUGUUAUUUCUUCGAGUAUGCUCUUUAGAUUAAUUAUUAUAUACGAUUUAGAUUGCUGCCUAGAUAAUUGAUGUUUUAUUUAAAAACUCUAGCGUAGAAUUACAUGCUAUUUUAUUACUGCUUAUUUACAUUUGAUUUCCCCCUAGAUAGUUUUAAAUGCUUUAUUUCAAUUACGUGUUUGUUAAUGAGAGAGAGUGUCAGACACAAAAUAUUGAUUAGAGUGUUUAGGUUUAAUUUCUUGUUAAUUAUGUGCAACACGAGCGAACGCUCUGCUUAGCCUUCCUUGAGAGUACGACUUGGAUUAGCUUAUUCCACUCCAAUUGACCUCGUACGAUUGUGAGUCAAUUCGAUAGGUGUUUAGAGUUGAGUCAAAUUUUGGCGUUGUUGCCAGGGAAGGCUUUAGGCGUUUUAUUGUGUUGCUUUGUUUUAUGUGUUUAUUUUAUUUCUUUCUUUUGACUCGGUUAUUUUCUCCCUCCUAUGUUUGAUAAGAAAAUUGGUGCCCUAAGUCGACAACAUUAAUCGGCCUAGCGAGGUGUUUAGAAGUUACCGCAAAGAAGUGUUUAGAAACCGCAGGGAAGAGUUUGAGUCCAAUUCAAACAAUUCUGUGGAAAAUGUGCGUGAACGUGCAGAAAGUUUUUAUUCAAAGGCAAAGGUGCAGAUUGCCCCCUGAACUACACCUCCCCCCUAUAGCUUUUAGCCCCUCAUACUCAGUCAAAGUGAGUUGACCUCCCUGAACUCCCGAAAGAAGGGUGCAAAUAACACCCUCUGCUAAACUUUAAUUUUUUUAUUUAUUUGGGGUGGGCCCCACCCCAAAGGGUCAACCGAGGGGAGGUCGGCGCCGAGCUCGCUAGAUUUCGGGGAGGCCAUGGUGGAGUUUGGAAAUAUAGAUGGGAGAGAAGAACUCUUGUGCGCAGGCAACAACCUCGCUGAAAUUCAAAGAGAACAUGAGGCAUGGAACAACGAUUUCGCAGAAAGGGAGAUGAGAGGCUGAUUGAUUUUGAGGGCGACGCUGGUAAGGUGUCAGGGUGGGGCUGCGAGGAGGCGGCGAUUACCCGCCGAUUUUGAGAAAAAUGGUGAAUGGAGGCUGAUUUCCGUCGGAGAAGGGGAAGACGAACGAGAGUAGUCGACGGCGUGGCGAGAUGGCGCAAACUUCAGAUAAGGAAGGUGGUGUUAUGCCUUGGGAGAUGGAUAUGGAUAUUGGAGAUUUAGGGAGGAAUACAUUCUGAUUUUGGAUAAGAUGAAAUUUUCUGAAUCCAUUUUUUUUUUCUGUGGAGAUCUAUUUGUGGGCAUUUGGGUUUCCUUUACAGAGGAAAUGAAGAACGGACCGAGAUGAAUGAGGUGCCGGAAAAUUUCAGAAAAAGAUGGAUGAGCGGCCAUGGAUGCCGAAAACUGAAAGAAAGAGCUCGAUUAGGGCUCGUUUUUACAAGUAGAGUGCACCUGGAAUUGAGAAAUUGAGAGGAGUGAAGGAGGAGAUAGGAGCAGACGAAGGGAGAAACGCCGACGGCCGGGCGCGGCCUCGCUGGACUCAACCGCGACGGCCACCAGAUGAGAGAGAGAAGAUGACGCUUGAAAUAAAGAAAAAAAAAAUUAAGCAGUCGGCGUUUGAGCGCCGUUUAGCAGAUGGUGUUAUUUGCACCCUUCUUUCGGGAGUUCAGAGAGGUCAACGCGCUUUGACCGAGUAUGGGGGGCUAAAAGCUAUAGGGGGUGUAGUUCAGGGGGCAAUCUGCACCUUUGCUAUCAAAUACCAAUCUGGAGGACACUGCAGAUACUGACUGUUUACCUCAUUUUUGGUUGAUCAUUGCGGGUGUUGGGACGCACUGUUGAGCAUGCUUUGUGCAUAUUUGUAUUAUUUUAUACUUGCUCAAUGACUUUGUGUGCGUUCUUAUUAUUUUGUAGGGCGUCGUGGUAUUUUUGGCGUUUCGCGAAGUUUUUGUUGAUGUGUCUUAGAUCUCACUCUUCGCAGAGUUUGUACGGGGGCCUCCACGACCACCGCCGCCUCGGCGCCGCCCGCAGGCAGCACCGCUUGCCGCCCCGUAUCACUCGCUGGCCCAAUUCUGCGCAAGGGCUAGGCGGCUUUUUCACUGUAUUUUCUUAGAAUUUUGAUGGAAAGAAACAUACUAGGAACUUUUGGAUUACGCUAGAUCGUCGUUUACUUGAAUCGGUUGUAUGUACCAUCUAUUGAUUUGCUAGUUUCUACAAGCUUUCCUAGUAGUUUCUUUGCCUAGACAAUUGAGCAUGUUUAGAUAAUGAUAUUUAAUGUUGGUUUAUGCUUUUGUUAAUCCUAUCGCCUAGUUAGCGUAGUAUAUCGUUGUUUGAUUCAAUUGUUGAAUUCUCCGUUGGUUUUAUGUGGUGGAUUUCAUCUAUGCGUUCUUAGGAUUAAUGGUGAUUAAUGUUCUCUCUGAAUUUGGAUGCUUGUCCUUUUAUCUUGCCUAGAUAAUUGUUGCUUUCUAGAUUGUUAGAUUAGAACCUUAGCUCUUUAUGCUUUCUUAUUGUUUUCUUAUCUGCUUCCUAUUUAUCUCCUAGAUAACUUUUUAUGCUUAUUACAAUUACGCUUUAAUUAAUCGGUGAGAGAGUGUCAGACCCAAUCUUAUGAUUAGAGUAUUUAGGUUUAUUUCUUGUUUUCUGUGCGUAGCAUGAAUAAAGCUCUGUUUAGCCUUUCUUGUGAGAUGACUUGGGUUAGCUUACUACACUAGGACGACCUCGUACGAUUGUGAGUCAAUCCCUUAGGUAUUUUGGGUUGAGUCACUGACUCUAAUCAUUCUGAAAAGUCUAGAGGUGAUCAAACAGAAGAAGAAGAAGUGCAAUCCAAUCACGACAGAGAAGAAAUGGCAGUAAGAAAUCUGCAGUACAUGGGAGAUUUUACCCAGCCUGUCAUUGAGGCUACGAGUUCAGCUAUAGUUCUUCCUACGGCCACGAGUUGACGCCGAACGAUUCAAACUUACUUCCACUCUUUUACGGGCUGCCUAUUGAAGAUGCUCUGACGUUUAUCCGAGAUUUCUGCACCCAGGUGCAGACCUUCCUGCUUUUGGAUAUCACAGAAGAUCAGCUGAAGCUUAAAUGCUUCCAGUAUGCUCUGAAGGAUAGGGUAAGGACGUGGCUGUUAUCCCUGCCGCCAAACUCCAUUACUACUUGGGGAGAGGCAUGCGAAAAAUUUAUGCUGAGGUUUUAUCCCAAUCACAAGACAUAGGAGAUUCGUACACAGAUUAUGAAUUUCAUCCAAGGAGCUGAUGAGUCAUUCCAUGAGCGUGGGAAAGAUUUCAAGAGCUGCUCCGGCAAUGCCCACAGCAUCAGCUGCCUCCUGUCAUGUUGAGCCAGUUUUUCUAUGAUGGACUGAUCCACACAACUCAAUUCAUGGUGGACAACACUACUGGGGGAAACAUAGCCAGGAAGACAGCUGCAGAGCUCAAUCGGAUUUUCCAGACUCUAGCUGAGAGUUCCCAACAAAAGUCGACCUGUGGACGACGGGUUGAAGCGAGUGCAAUGGCACCGAAUUAUGAGCUACAAAAGCAGAUGGCCGAGAUGAUGAGUAAGCUGCAGCAGCUAAAGAUGAGCAAGGCAGAAAUUUCUCCUGUCCGAGAGCAGAAUAUAGAAAGCUGUAGAAUCUGUGGUGAUUUUGGCCAUGGAAUUAAUAAGUGUCACAUAAUGGGAGAAUACACACCAGAAGGACAAGCUGAAGUUUAUGCUGCUCAAGUAUAUUCAAACAGACCGCAGUUUAAUCAAGGGCAACAAAAUUUAAAUUCUGGUUGGAGGAGUCAAGCUCCUAGGGGGGUCAAGAUCAAAUCAAGGAAAGCAGUUUCGCAGACCUCCACAGCAAAUGGGGUAUCACAAUCAGCAGCAGAAUUUCUUUCCACCGCAGCAGAAUUUUCCUCAGCAGUACAAUUAGGAUUUUAUGUAGCAGAAUAAUUUUGAGCCCCAACAGCAGCAGUACCAACACUCGGGACCAUCAUUUGAGGAUACGAUGUAGACAUUUAUGCAAGCUAGCAAGCAAGCGAUGAAGGCUUAGAGUGCUACCAUCAAGCGCCUCAAGACUACAGUUGGGCAACUCACGAGGGCUUUAAAUCAGCUGCAGCAGCAGCCAACUGGAAAGUCCUCCACUCAGGGCCAACAGCUACAUCAAGCUCAUACUAUUGAAAUUGUCAAAGAAGAUGCCCCAAGGAUAAAGGGAUUUGAUGUUUUGCCUCAAAGAGUGGAGCGUGAUAGGGAAGGUUUUCAGUAGGGAAACUUGGGGAAAGACACCAUUGGAAAAUGGAGAAGCAAAACCGUGGAAGUAAUUAAAGCUAUCCAAUGUCCCAGCAAGCCUCUGCCACCUGUCACUGCUGAUCCAACCCAACCACUACCGAAGCAAGAAGAUCCUGGCAGCUUCAUUUUUGGUAUUGGUUUGGGUGGACUUGAGGAGGUCUCAGGAAUGCUCAAUUUGGGUGCGGAAGUCAAUUUGAUGCCACUUGACAUUUUUUAGAAGCUGGGCAGGAAGGAAGACGAGUUGAAGUGCACUGAUAUGAAAAUAGAGCUAGCUGACGGCUCUAUUAACAGCCCACGAGGACUUGUGGAAGAUGUGGAAGUCGUAGUGUAAGGGAUUAAAGUGUUAGUGGAUUUUUUGGUGCUCGAUGCGGGCACGGGAAUUAGAGGAGAGAAUGUUCAUCUCGUUUUGCUUGGCCGACCUUUCAUGGCCACCACUCAUACUCGCAUUGACGUGGGACCUAGAACAUUGAGUAUGGCUGGGUCAGGUAGAUCGGUUACAUUCUCAGUUUUUGAUAAGAAACCUAUUACUCCUAAUCUAUCAUUGCAGCAUUAUUCUUAUGUUGAGAUAUUUUAUGUUGUGGAGGAGGAUCGCAUUGUGUAGGAAUUUCUUGAUAAGUUGCAGGAUGAAGACGACAUUAAGCAAGACUUCCUUGCUAACUUGCAAGAUGAGAUGACUAUUGAAGAAGAAUUUCUGGACAAGCUGCAGCAAGAAGAUAAUUUGGUGGAAGAGGAUAUUGUACAAGAAUUCCUAGCUAACUUGCAAGAGGAGGCAGCCAUUGAAGAAGAAUUACUGGACAUGCUGCAACAUGAGGAUGAUUUAGUGCAAGAUUUGCAGUGUGCACUUCAUAUCGACGAGAAAGAAGAGAUGAGCUUUGAACUUGGCUCCCAAAGAGGUGUUAAAGUGAGAUCAAUUGAUGCUAUGAGCGUAGUAUACUCAUCAGGAGUGCCCACAACUGCAUUGAAAGAUGAUGUACUGACACAUGAAAUAAAGCAGUUGAAGCUUCAAUCGGACUUUGGUUAUGGGUUCCUUUUAGUCGGGCUGGCGACUUUAAAACUAGCGUUGCAUGGGAGGCAACCCAUGAUUUUUCUUAGUUUCCUUUGUUUUUGUUUUUCUUUUGCUUUGUUUGAUUUUUGUUGGGUUAUGUCCUUGGUGUAUGGUGCAGGUUCUGUGCUUUUGGGAUUGACAUCUUGUGUGGAUGAGAAACAUGCAUGGCAAUGCGGAACUCCAUGGACUCAUCUCCUUGAUUGAUAUUUCAGGGAAGUGUUUCUCUUACAAUCUUAUUUCAGGCAGUGUUUUGCUCUAAGUGGGGGGAAGGAGAAGGGAGAGCCUUGGUUUUAUUGAUUUUGGUAAAUACGGGAGAGUUUCUUUGUGUGUUUCAUUGGUUGGGAAAAUGGUCCCCUUGCAUUUAGUGGAUGCUUAAAAUUGAGCUUGUUUGUAUUAAUCCUUUGAAGUUGUGGUUCUCAAUGUGAUAUUCGGGUUUGUGCCGAUUGGUGGCUGUUCUUGUUGUUCUCUUAUGCAUAUCUCUUGAUUGGUGUGAUGAAUUAGAAGUUUUUGUUGCAACACAUUUGUAAGCAGUUGAGACGUGAUUUGUCCGGUAGAUGCUAGAGGGAGUGUUGUCAGUGUGAUUGCCUACGAUCUUAUCUUGAUGUUAUAAAGUUUUGUGAAUGUUGAAAUAUUUGACAGCUCUGAGUCUCUACUCCUCUAGUGUUACUAUGAGCAUGAGAAACUGCGUGGGAAGACUUUGGAUUACCUCCAAAAGGCUUGAUCUCACAAAUUAUGGCUUAACUGUUGAAAAUGAAAGAUAAAGUUCUUAAGAGAAUUGAAAAAUGGUGAAAAUAUAACAGUGAAAACAUAAGAUAAUGAUUAUAAAGGCGAUCACAUUAGUGAAUUCACUUCUAGCGGAGAAUUGAGUCUGAUCGAAUCAUUUGUAUUAUAAUGGUGUUGCUUCUUAAAACUUUUACUUACACCAUUUGAGAGAUAUGUGUUGAGUGAAAAACUUGAAUUGGUUUGUUGAAUAUUUGGUUGGAAUCGAACAUUGUGAACCAUUUCUUCGUUUGAUUUAUAUGGAUUUUGUUUGAGGACAAGCAAAAGGCUAAGUGUGGGUUGAUGCUUAAUUGUUACUGUUUUGGGGAAAUUUAUGAUUGCAAUUUUAGUUUUUAUUUGCUUGAUUAGUGAGUGUUUGUGAUGAGUGGAUUACAUUUUGCAGGGGAGUGAAGUUGUUGUGAAAGUAUUGGACUUGAGAGAUUUUAUGGAGAAAUAGUAACCGAGAGUUCGCUGGUUUCUGUCCAGCGCUCGCUGGAACUCCAGCCGUUUCGCCCAGCUCGUGGGGUGUUCCAACUAUUUUGCCCAGCUCGCGGGGUUUCCCAACCGUUUCGCCCAGCUCGCGGGGUGUCCCAGCCAUUUAUCCCAGCUCGCGGGGUGCCCCAUCCGUUUCGCCCACUCGUGGGGUGUCCCAGUCGUUUCGCCCAGCUCGUGGGGUGCCUAGCUCGCAGGGUGUUCCAGCCGUUCCCAGCCACCAUUACAAUCGGCGCUUAAAUUCCCAGCCGGUGCUCCAGCCACCAUUACAGUCGGUGCUCAAAUCCCAGCCACCAUUCCAGCCUUUCCUCACGCCUAGAGUAUAAAUAGAUUAUUUCUCUUUUCGCUAGGGCACACUUUCCCAUACGUAGUUCUAGCGAUUGUUCCAGACACCAGAUUUCCUAGUUAGGGUUAUUGCUUUGAUUUUCAUCCUGACGCCUAAAGUAAUUCAGUAGUUAGAGAUUUAUUUUCCACUUAUCGUCAUUACUGUAAGUUUCCAUUUAUUGCCUAGAUAAAACUCUUAGAUUUAUGAUUUCAAUGCAAUAUCUGUUAUCUCUUCGAGUAUACUCUUUAGAUUAA